AACAUCGCGCACCUGCGGGAACCUGCGGAGGGAUCAUUAUCGAAUAAACUAGGUAGAUGCUGUUGCUGUCCCUCUCGGGGGAAACUUGUGCACGCUUCUGCCUUUUUUGUUUAUCCACCUGUGCACACACUGUAGGUCUGGGGAAGUCUGGUAAGGGAGGUAACUCUCUGAACGGCUUCAUUCAUUCCCAGGUCCUAUGUAUUUUUACAUAUACACUAUAGAAAGUAACAGAACGAAUCA
rnacentral:misc_RNA from 1 species